AACCGAAACCAAACGAAAUCCUACGACGACUCUGCACGACAGGCAGCUUGCCCGCAUCAUUCACGCAACCACCGGUACGCACGACCCGAUCGACAGCCGUUGCUCCGGCCCCGGCGCCCGCCCCGCCAUGGCCUCCGUCUCCGACCCUCGGACCCGCAAGGCCGCCGCCGCCGCGCGCGCGCCUCCGCGGGACUUCCUGGCCCACCUGGAGGCCUACCUGGCCCGCCGCGACGGCGUCGACAAGCUGCUCAAGAUCUCGCGCUACGCCGCGCGCCUCGCGCUCGCCGCGGGGCCUCCGCUACCCCCCGCCGCCUCCGCGCGGCUCAAGUCCUUCGAGUCCAGCGUCGGGCUCAGCCGCAAGGCCUUCCGGCUCGGCAAGUUCGUGCAGGACGUCAACGCCUUCCGCGCCGCCGCCGCCGCUCCGCCCCUCGUGCUCCUCGCCUACGGCGGCGAGGGCGUCUACUACUUCCUCGAGCAGUUCGUCUGGCUCGCCAAGGCCGGCCUCCUGCCCGCGCACCUCCUCCCGCGCCUCCAGCGCCUCAGCGCCUGGGCCGAGCUGCUCGGCUACGUCGGCUCCAUCACCAUUAAACUGAAAGAAAUGGCCAAGAUGGAGUCUUCCAUCAAGACAUUGCGGCUCAACAAGGAGGUUCGCGGGGAGGAGGAGGACGAGGCGCUGCGGACGCUUCAGGGGAAGCUGCUGCUGAAGCGGCUGUCCGUUGUGCAAGACGUGGCGGACGCCUUCAUGGCGCUAGGGGACGUCACCGACGGGAAGGGGCUGCUCGGUAGUUCCACGCUCACGGCGUCCGCCGGAUUGCUGUCGGCGCUCAUCAGCACGCACAAGAACUGGAACUCUUGCUGAAAACCUCGAGGACUCUUGCCGCUCUGCUACCAGGGAUGUGGUAUGGGUGACCUAGGGAAAAGUAGGGACUAGGGAGUAAGCUUGUCAAGGUACUGGUACUCAGAUCACUUAGCUGAUUACCUGUUGGUGUUUAUAGUUUAUAUACCACAACUGAUCCUCCAGGCUCCAGCUUAAGACGACUGGUGUCCUGGCUAUUUGCCUUUCAGCACUUCACAUGGGUAUGUUGCAUGCUUUUGUGGUUUGAGUAAGAUCUGGUAACAAUUCACUUAUUUUCAUUUAUAGCAGCUAUGUUAGUGCACCUCAUUGUUCUAAUGUCAUGCACGUCCAACUGGAUUAUCAUGGACAUGGAUUUCAAUUAAUUUUAUAUAUUCAUUUAUUUGAACAAAAUAUUUUGUAAAUAUGACAGUAAUAAUCGCUAAAACGAGUUUAUUAGCAAUGAGCAAAAAACAGCUCAUAGGCUUUUAAGCAUCCGAUCUAAAAGAAGGCUUUUAAGCAUCCAAUUACUAUUUUAUUAUAAACCGAUAUCUUGUGUUUAGUAUUUGCCAAGGAGCUCCGUAAUUUAUUGUCUGUUUAUAUUUCACAACAACUUGGCAUAGGAGAAAUUUUUGUACCUCUUAUGAUGGAUUGCCAUAUAGAUCCUGUUUCUGCAUAAGUUUAUGCAAAUCGUAGUCGACAUGUUACAACUGGCGAACCGGGCAUAUUUGGUCCCAAAUAGUCGAGAUGUGUAUGUGCAUGAGUGUUUAGUAUUUGCCAAAGAGCUCCGUAACUUCUUGCAUGCUUAUAUUUCACAACAACUUCG